rnacentral:tRNA from 1 species
GGCGCUGUGGCGUAGAGGUUAACGCCCUGGCCUGAAGCGCCAGCAUCCCAUAUGGGCACCGGUUCUAGUCCCGGCUGCUCCU